GCAUGAUGUGAGGCCAAAGGUCACCUCACCACCACCCUUCUAUUAGAUAUUUCUUUGGCUAAAAACCACUCACUAUUGCCCACUGUUUUGCCCCUUGUUUUGGCCAAACCCAUAAUCACCAAAAUGUCACUCAUGCUCUCCUUUCACUCUUCAGAAUGUGUAAGAGGCAUUCAGGUCUUUACUUCCUUCCCUUCACCACUUUUCACUCAAAUUCUUGCAAAAAAACCCUUAGGAGCUCUCUUGGGCAGCUUUCAGUGGCUUUUUGUGUGCCAUUUCUGGAACCCUUGUCAAGAUUCAAGAUUCAUGUUCACGUUCAUGUUCAUGUACAGCCACCAGUAGGGGCUCCACACCACACCGAUCGGGGCCCGAAUUGUCAUAGCGGAUCAGGAAUGACUCUUUCUCCCUUUUUGACUUGUUGUUCCAUUUUUAGAAGAUGACAUAGAGAAUCGCCCACCCUUAUUCAA